GGCCCCACCGUACAACACUGAACAGAGUACUCGUCUCAUCCGCCCCUCUCUCUUCCUCGUGUUCGUCUGCGCCAACCCUGUGAGAAGGUGGUGCUGUGAAAGCACCACCGCACCCCAUUCUUUGUUGGCCCGGUGUACAUUCGCUUACUGGCGCAGCGACUGCGUGGGUAGGGAAAGCACAGGCACACUUCCCCCGACGUAUCUAGACAUAGGGGCGCGCUGAGACGCCUCCCCUUAUACUUCCGUCAACGCCCUCCCUCAGCACACACACACACACACCAACUCCCUUACUUUCGCUCUCUUCGCAGCUGUACAGUUGCUGGCCGAAACGCGUGGCUGCGCGUCGUUGCUGAGGGGCCACACCCACUGACGAAGGGCGCCCUGCGCUGUUGCACUGCGAGUAGCACCAUAGCCUGCCCCAACGCCGCCAUCACUGCUGCCGCUCAUCUCGCGCCACCUGCCUUCUACUCCAUGUAUACAGUUGUCGGUCAUUGUGCAAUCUCUUUCUGCUUAGUCUAACCUUUGGAAGAUGGAUUACUUGAGCUCAUCUUUCGCUCUCGCCUGCCUGCUUCCCCCCUGUUACUUGGUCUCCCUGACGCACCCAACGAGGCAUCCAUUACGCAUACGCACUCCGCCACACACGCACGCCACUCUGCGCACAAAGAGAUCGCGGGUCGUACUUGUUUUAGCUUCUCUCGCCCCCGUCUGUGCGUAGCUGCGUGAGGGUGGAGGGGAGGAGAGUGCGCUCGUUAGGCUCUUAUUGCUUGUUUGUGCAUACAUAUAUAUGUGCAUAUCUCUGUCUGUCGUUUGAUAUGAUCUGCCAGCUGGGGCGCACGUGCACAUAGUACCCAAGCCUGUGCGUCUACGUCUCUCCUUUUCGGAGUCUCCUUGCUCUCCCCCGCCUCUCCGGUGUCUCAGUGGUGUCUCACCAACCAAAAGAGGGGACGGAGGGGGCCUCCUAUCAUCGGCAUCACUCUUCUCUUUCUUGCUAGCUUGUUCCGUUCGUGCCCCCCCCAUUUUUUCCCCUGUGUAGUUGCACUCCCCGUAUUCUUGCUGUUCCUCUUGCACUGCUCAUCUCUUCUUCUGGCCCCUUCCCGGCCGACUCUGACCUCCGUCGUGCCGCCCAUGCUUGAGAGCAGCUGUUUGUGUGCGCCGUUUUCAUUUUUUUUUCACCCGCUCAGCAGCAGCCUGCGUCGACGCGUAGCCCCGCGGACGCUCCCCCCUCCUCUCCCCCGUCUCAUGCGCAGUAGAGAAAGCAUACACAGGUAGCGUCAGCAUGCCAAAGAUACCGCUUGCUGUAGUGUCGACAUCAUCCGAUGACUCGGAGAUGUCCUACAGCGACCCGGUCGGGGCCUUUAAGGGUGCGAAUUGGGCCGUCAUGAACAUUGACAGCUUCGACUCUCUGCCCUUCUCAGAGGUUUCGCAUUCCCCGUACGGGGUGGACUCGAACUUUCUCGACUCUGUGUCCCGCGUAGGCUCAGCAGGGUACCGCCCCAGUCCCAGUGUGGCUUCUGCUCUAGAUCGCCAGGACACCGUUAUGACGCCUCUGAAGCCCGGCAUGUUGAGCCCUCUCCCCGGCAUUUCACGAGGGUUCCGGCUCCAUGGCAAUGAUCAGUCCAUAAGCACCACCGAGGUGAGCGGUGCCAUGGUGGCCGGCCUUCCUGCCGUGCCGACGCACUUUACGCCAAAGGGCAGCGACGCCCUUGCUUUGCACCCGAGGUUGUGUGGCGCCGGCGGGGCACCGGGGGCCGCCUCUGCCGCGGAGGUGGCUCGUAACCGUAAGAAGAAGCAGAAGCCGCCGCCGCACCGCACCCGGUCGUUGCAGAUCGAGGCUGCUAAGUGGCUGGAGGAUGAUUGCAGCACGGAAGCGCUGGUACUGCGCGAGGUCUCGCAGCGACGACCAGUCAGCCCAAUGACAGACGCCGAAGCGGACGAUGUCCUGUCUUUGAGCUCGUCAGGGGCUACUGGACUACUGACCCUGCCGAUUCAGGGCAUGGCACCGCCGUCGAGCAUCGCUACAGGACUUGAGACUGCCGUUACGAAACAGACCGCCUUGCCCACAGCGGCUCCGAAGGUGAACAAGGAGGUCACCCGCGGGCCCCCGACAAACCGCACAGAAGGAGAAAGAGCGCCACCCGUGGCUGCCAGCAGCGCCAACGAUCCUGCACCUUUCAUGGCAGCACCGGCGACGACGGGUGAUCGCCGCCCCGUUGGCCAGAGAGGCGCAACAGCAAACUCGCCUCUGAGGCGGGCCGCCCGUGUCAACAUGGUGCCGACGCGGCGCAUUGCCCCUUUAGACGGCAAGAAAGGGCCAGAAACUGAUGUGCGAAGGGACUCAGCGGCAGCCGCCACAGUCCGGCGGCAGCCUGAGACGCAGCAGUCGCAGUCUCCAGGCACUACCCUACCGACUGAUAUGCCGUCGUUGAUUCGCGCGGGGACCCUUUCGCCUUCCAAAAGGAAUGCAAAGGCUGCAACGAUUACCGAUGCGACACCACCCUCGUCCGCCGCGAACGGCUUUGCACAAGCACCCCCCGCUGCCAUGGCGGAACGAUGGCAGGCGGCGAAGGGCCAGCUCCACGAAUCCAGACAGGCAGCGAGUGGUCAGCGGUCAAACACGUAUGUUGAGGCGCCGACAGCUGGUGCGCAUGGCGCUGAUGAUAUCAACGGAGAGCCGACCAGUCUCCCAGACUCGCGGCCGACGGUUUUGUCCCUGGACACCAUUGCAAUGCUGUCAACGCGGGCUAGGAAAACCACUGCCCUUCCGCUGCAGCAGCCGUCACUGGACAGAAGCACGAAGCAGCGGACGCGCCCCCGAAGAACCAGCUUCGCCUCGACAGCAAUACCGGAAACGAUCAGUGAGGCGAGUUGUGUUGCUGGCGAGACGGCGGAAAAAGAGGCCCCACACGCUUCACCUGGACGCAGGAGGCGGCAUCACUCAGUGGAGUCAUUGGAGAUGAGCGCGACAAAGGCAGCGAUCACAGAAUCCUCAUCGAACCUCGCGGCGGCCUCGGUUGUGCCAGAGGAGCGGCCCGAGACGCGGCAGUACGGUCUUACCGACAGCCUGCACAUCUCGCCUGCCAACCGCAUGGCCGCAGAGAAGUUGGUGGCCUUUGUGCAGGCCGUCUCCGAUCCGGAGGUGCUGCACGUCAUCUACGACUACCUCGAGGAGCAUGAGAAAGCGGUGCCGCGCUACUGCCUCGCCACGAAGGCGUGCCGUGAGCUUCUGGAGCGCAAAGAAGAGAUGCUGAUGGCUUGCUUGUCCACCAGCGGCGGUGCUCACGAGUCAUCACAGCACAGUGCAGUUGGUGCCCGCCGUCCCCGUAGUGUUUCAGUGCCGCAGCUCGUGGACUCGCCAGACAAGAAGGCGGAGACAGCAAGGGCAGGGGAAGGCCUGACGGAGGCGCAGCGCCUCUUGCAGCAGAUUGAGGAGACGGACGGCUGUGACAAGGGAGACGACGAUGAUGCCGAUAUGGAUGAGUUUGAUGACCUCAAUUACUUCCCGGCGCCCUACACACCAUCCAGCCGCUUCAAUUUUGGACAGCCGAGCGUCUCCGGUCUCGUCACUCGGGUUUUUUCGGAGGGCAUGCUGUACAAGAUCAAGACCCCAAAAGGCGAGUACCACUUCUACAACGAUACCCUGCAGGAGGUGAUGGUUGUACGCGUGCAGUGCCAUCUGCGCGGCAACGAGAAGAUCAACGAACGUGCCAUGCUCUCCCCCGUCGCCAGUACCGGCGAGACGGAGAUUACGAUCGCCGUAUUGCCGGAGGAGACGAACUUUUUCAUGAGUGGGGUGGCGCAUAUGCCUCACUUCAUGGCAAAGCGAGUGCCGGUGCCGCGCGAUUACGUCUCGCCGUCGGUGACGCAGUCGCUGCGCAAGAUCAACGCCGAGAUCAACGCUGUGCGCAAGGCACUUGGCAAGUGGAGCCGAGCCUCCGACCAGCAGGCGUACCUGAAGUGCUGUCUCAAGAACAACCUCCGCUUCACAGACCUCAACUUCCGCCCGAGUUCGGAGAGCCUGUAUCGCCCUGAGUUCGACGCGGUCGUCAUACCGGCCGUCACAUGGCGGCGGCCGGAGGAGUACAUCUACCUGGCCGAGGUGUCGCAGACGCGUCUAUUCCGCGGCGAGAUUUCGUGUUUCCUGGUGAAGCAGGGUGACCUGAGCAACCACACGGUGGUGGCUGCGAUGGCGGCGGUGGCGCAGUUCCCGGCCCAUGUGCGGUGGAUGUUCCGCCACCCCGUGAGCGCGCACGUGGGCAAGAUGGAGAGGUCGCAGGGCUGCUACCGAGUGACGCUGCUGCACAAUGGGUGGUGGCACACCUACCUUGUCGACGACUACGUGCCUGCGUCGCUGAGAGGACCGCUGUUUGCGAGCUGUGCCGAGGACCCGCGCCGGCUGUGGGUGCAGCUGCUCGAAAAGGCGUAUGCCAAGUCGCUUGGCUCAUACGCGGCGACGUGCCUCGUCGACGCCAUGGAGGCCCUCGGCGACUUCACUGGAUUCCCCGUACGCUUUCUCGACUCCAUGUGGGCGGCCGCCGCGCAGGGGCCGAGGGAUGGCGCGUUCCGGUCGCUCUUUCGCUACCUCGAGCUCUGUGUCCGGGCCGGCUGCACGGUGCUUCUCUUCUCUCCGCCCCCCACCGACGAGCAGUCGAGUGCGACCGUGGACAUGUCCCGCAAGCGUUCCUCGCGUAUCAUGCCGGUGAAGGGCGCGGUGCCGCAGUUCCUGCCCGGCCACAUCUACUUCCUGCGCGACGUCGCCUUCUACGAGGCGCUAGAUCUGCGCAUGGUCCAGCUGAAGAACCCGUGGACGUGGGAGACAAAAAACAAGAUCCACUACGAGAAGAAGUGGAGGUACACGACGUGGUACGACCAGCCCGACCCCAGCCUCAGUGCCAUUGCGUCCGCCACGACGAGCCUGCACGGACAGGUGUGCUCCCGCGUUCUGGCCUCGCACGCGCUCAGCCCUAGAGCCUGUACGGACUUGUCACCGGAGGCGGUCGCUCUAAACGAGCGCAAGGGCACGAUGUGGGUAGAAUGGGGGGAGGCGCUGACGGCGUUUGCGGGCGGCGGCGUGUGCUACACCAUGUGGGACCGACACCGGUACCGUGUGCGGAACGCCUUUGUGGAGGGCCGACCACGGCUGGCGCUUGAGCUGAAGGCGCGGCGCAAAGUGGAGCUGCUCGUGACGCUUUCGCUGGAGACGGUGAGCGAGACGCUCGACAACUUCGGCACCGUCGUCGCUGCCCGUCCCAUCCCGCUCCACGGCACGGCGCUCGCGGUGGUGCACCGACAGGCGAACCAGUCGGCGAAGGUGGUCCGUGAGUCCUGCGACGACAUCGAGAGCGUGACAGGCUGCCGAACAUACGUCGUGGCGCGUGAUGUGUCCAUAAAGGUGGUCGUUGAGCCGAGCACGAGUAGCAACGGCGCCGCCGUACUGGUUGUCCCGCUGCUCGAUCCAAGCGCCGUUAGCGCUGCCGCCGUCGGCGCCGGCAGCGGAUCCUCCUCGAGCGCCGCCUCGAUAGCCGCUGCGCCCGAGGUACGGUUUGUCGUGUCCAUCGUCAGCGACGCCGUUGCGGGGGACGGGGAGGAUUUGUCCGUCCACUUUGUGUCGCUGCGGCGCAGCUGCGGCGUCUUCACGGACUCAACCACGGCGUUCCCACUGGAGGGCGCCUCGCGCGUGACAGCACAGUACCAAGUGUGCACCAAGGCAGGCGUUGCGACGUGCGAGGGGUCUCGCAUCUCUGGCAACGAAACGAAGGGUAUGUGAAUAUGGCAUUCGCUGUGGUGUUUUGUUCCGUCUCUGUGCAUUCACAUGAACACAGCACUCUAGGAGCAUCCUCGUUCCGACACCUCCCUUUGAGACGUCGCUGUCGGCGGCGGGGGAUGGUGAGUAGACGCACGCCGUGGUCCCCCUGAUUGACACCACACGCGUACGCUACGCUGCCCUGGAAAGUCGGGGAGAUACGACUGUGCUCUCGCUGUGGCUGUUGUGGCUCCUUAUCUUGUCUACCAUUCGCUUAUCCUUUUCUGUUGUUGUGAUUUUCCGUAUUUCUUUUCCUUUCAUGUGCUGCCGUUCUCUCUUCGCCCCGCCUCUCGCCUCUCUUGCUCUCUCUACCCCCUCC
rnacentral:misc_RNA from 1 species